UCAAAGUCCUGACCUAAACAGAGAAAAUCUGUUUUGCAAAUGUUUUCUUUGCAAAAAUGUUGAAAUAAAUGUGGGUUUUUUUGGGACAACUAAAAGCAGAGCAGAUGAUCCAAUGGAAGAUAAGUGCUGGAGUAGAUCCAUGAGGUAAGAGGAAGCAAGAUCAGUUUGGCUUUUAUAAGCAGCGUUUGUGCGUGCCAGUAAAAACGACAAGAUGUGACAUUCAGCUAGAACAAAUACUUUUACAAAUACCUGUAGGUCAACAACUGUCAUAAAUUUUAUUUUAAUUAAUAGAUCUGUCACAAACUUGGUGAGUUUGCUUUUCAGUUUCAUUUACCAGAAAAUGAAAAUGGAGAGAACACUCCCUCCUCUCCUGUCUCCCUCCCACACAAACACACACAGACGCAGCUUUAAAGACCAAGAAGUGUGCUGCCGGAAUUGAAGAUGUCAAGAAAAACUGUGAGUUAUUGUGCUGCUCUGCUCCUCACUGUGACAUCGGUGUACGCUGCACGGAGAAGUCUGAACUCCAUCAACGAUCUGAAAACCUGCCACCAGUUUGAUGACACAAACAUCUUAGAACUUCUUCACUGGUUUGCUUGCAAAGUUGACAUCGACUACAACAAUAUCAUCCAGCUGACCUUUGAUCCAAACUCAGGUGCUUAUUGCUGCCAUUAUUACAGAAAUCAGGAGGGACUCCUGGAAUCUCUGCCUUGGGGCUACCAUUACUACACAAUUGGCAAUUUUCUUCAAGCCACUUCAGCAUCACUUCCAUCUUAUGUAGUAAAUUCCCAGAGGAAUACUGUCGGCAACAGCGCCCGAAUCCUAAUUCGCGUAAAUGAAGGCAGACAGAUAGACCAAGUCUUCAUCACUCAGCAUUAUGAUGAAUAUGAAAAUCAGGGAUCAAGCUAUGAUCCAGAACAGACAUUCAGAAUCACCACCAACUUUUUGAGGCAACUCAGGAAGCAUUCCGUUAAUGAAAUCCAACAACUUGCUGAUGGUUCCCAAACUGGACCGAUUAGAAACACCUCAAAUGCUUACUCCCAGGAAGUUCACCGACCUAAGCAAGACACGCAAAUAGAUAUGCCGUUUACCCCAGUUAGGCAAGAUGACAACUGUAUAGCAAACGUUUGCCGUUUAAUUUGUGCUCUUUUUAUUAUUUUGAUCAUUUUCGGGUCUUACUUUGGUAAUUGGCGCAAAUAAUGUGAAAUAAGUGGGAAGGGAACAUGUCAAAUUAUCUUAAGAAACAUGCAACUGUGGUGCUUAUUGAUAGUAAUAAUGACAACGCCUUUUUUCUAAAGAAUUUUUGUGACACGUUUUGAUCAAAUAUUUUGUGUAUUUUGCAAAAAUAUGAUUCAAGUGUGUAAAGACUGUUUUUACUGUAUAUAUGAAAGCACACCUCUGCCUUGUAUCAAGGCAGAGGUGUAUCAAGGUGCAUCUUGUAUCAAGGCUGAAUUUGCAUUCAGACAGCAUACACUAAACCCGUAAAUGUCUAUUUAAAACAGCAGCUAAAUAAAAAUGCGUCUCCACUUUAA